AAGCGAUUUAUUUGUGUAGCUCAUUAUACAUGCAGAUUCCGAUGUUUACGUCAUUGUAUUUUCAUAUAGUAUACAAUGACGUAAACAUCGGAAUCUGCAUGUAUAAUGAGCUACACAAAUAAAUCGCUU
rnacentral:miRNA from 1 species